rnacentral:rRNA from 1 species
UAGGGAAUUUUGGGCAAUGGGCGAAAGCCUGACCCAGCAACGCCGCGUGUGGGAUGAAGGCCCUCGGGUCGUAAACCACUGUCAGGAGGAAAGAAAAGUCGGCCGGAUAAUACUCGGUCGACCUGACGGUACCUCCAAAGGAAGCACCGGCUAACUCCGUGCCAGCAGCCGCGGUAAUACGGAGGGUGCAAGCGUUGUUCGGAAUUACUGGGCGUAAAGCGCGUGUAGGUGGUCGAGUAAGUCGAAUGUGAAAGCCCCGGGCUCAACCCGGGAAGUGCAUCCGAAACUGCUCGACUAGAGUCCCGGAGAGGAAGGCAGAAUUCCCAAUGUAGGGGUGAAAUCCGUAGAUAUUGGGAGGAAUACCGGUGGCGAAGGCGGCCUUCUGGACGGUGACUGACACUCAGACGCGAAAGCGUGGGGAGCAAACAGGAUUAGAUACCCCUGUAGUCCCUGAGCGGGCUGGCAAGGCGCAU